UACGUAGGGUGCAAGCGUUGUCCGGAAUUAUUGGGCGUAAAGAGCUUGUAGGCGGUUUGUCGCGUCUGCUGUGAAAUUUCGGGGCUCAACCCCCGAACUUGCAGUGGGUACGGGCAGACUAGAGUGUGGUAGGGGAGACUGGAAGUUCCUGAUGUAGCGGUGAAAUGCGCAGAUAAUCAGGAGGGAACACCGAUGGCGAAAGGGCAGGUCUCUGGGCCAUAACUGACGCUGAGAAGCGAAAAGCAUGGGGGAGCGAACAGGA
rnacentral:rRNA from 1 species